rnacentral:rRNA from 1 species
UACGAAGGGUGCAAGCGUUACUCGGAAUUACUGGGCGUAAAGCGUGCGUAGGCGGUUUGUUAAGUCCGCUGUGAAAGCCCUGGGCUCAACCUGGGAAUUGCAGUGGAUACUGGCAAGCUAGAGUGCGGUAGAGGAUGGUGGAAUUCCCGGUGUAGCGGUGGAAUGCGUAGAGAUCGGGAAGAACAUCAGUGGCGAAGGCGGCCUGCUGGGCUGUUGCUGACGCUGAGGCGCGACAGCGUGGGGAGCAAACAGG